rnacentral:lncRNA from 10 species
AAUCACAGUCCACACACAAAGCUGAUCCCUCCCUACCCUCCACCAGGCCCUGUACUCCCCAGUUCAUAGAGGCCAGAAAUCUAUGUUGUUAACAAGAAUCCCUGGCAAGUCUCAUUGGGCAAGGUUAGGGAAUACUGGCUUAGUGAAGAAUGAUGGCUUGCACAUCUAUAGUGAAGUAUUACAAAAACCUCGCACUGUACUGUCUCCCAAUCAAACCAGCCAAACUCUCCACUCUGGCCAGAUGGUUCUCAAUCUCGACUGCACAUGGAAUAACCUAAGGAGCUUUAAAAACACUGACGCUAAACACAUAGAUCAAUGGAAGAGAAUUGAGAGUCAAGAAAUAAACCACACAG